UUUCUGGGCGUAAAGCGUACGCAGGCGGUUUGUUAAGCGAGAUGUGAAAGCCCCGGGCUCAACCUGGGAACUGCAUUUCGAACUGGCAAACUAGAGUGUGAUAGAGGGUGGUAGAAUUUCAGGUGUAGCGGUGAAAUGCGUAAAGAUCUGAAGGAAUACCGAUGGCGAAGGCAGCCACCUGGGUCAACACUGACGCUCAUGUACGAAAGCGUGGGGAGCAAACGGGAUUAGAUACCCCGGUAGUCCACGCCGUAAACGAUGUCUACUAGAAGCUCGGAACCUCGGUUCUGUUUUUCAAAGCUAACGCAUUAUUUAUACCGCCUGGGGAGUACGGCCGCAAGGUUAAAACUCAAAUGAAUUGACGG
rnacentral:rRNA from 1 species